rnacentral:rRNA from 1 species
UACGAAGGGUGCAAGCGUUAAUCGGAAUUACUGGGCGUAAAGCGUGCGUAGGCGGUUCUUUAAGUCUGCUGUGAAAUCCCCGGGCUCAACCUGGGAAUGGCAGUGGAUACUGGAGAGCUAGAGUGUGAUAGAGGAUGGUGGAAUUCCCGGUGUAGCGGUGAAAUGCGUAGAGAUCGGGAGGAACAUCAGUUGCGAAGGCGGCCAUCUGGAUCAACACUGACGCUGAGGCACGAAAGCGUGGGGAGCAAACAGG